rnacentral:snRNA from 1 species
AGCUUUGCGCAGUGGCAGUAUCGUAGCCAAUGAGGUUUAUCCGAGGCGCGAUUAUUGCUAAUUGGAUUUUUGAACUUGAGUGAAAG